AACGCGAAGAACCUUACCUGGGCUCGAAAUGUACCGGAAUCCGGCAGAAACGUCGGCGUCUAGUAAUAGACCGGUAUAUAGGUGCUGCAUGGCUGUCGUCAGCUCGUGUCGUGAGAUGUUGGGUUAAGUCCCGCAACGAGCGCAACCCUUAUCUUCAGUUGCUAAUCCGCAAGGAAAGCACCCUAAGGGAACUGCCUGGGAUAACCAGGAGGAAGGUGGGGAUGACGUCAAGUCCUCAUGGCCUUUAUGCCCAGGGCUACACACGUGCUACAAUGGCCGGUACAAAACGUCGCAAACCCGCGAGGGGGAGCCAAUCGCCAAAAACCGGUCUCAGUUCGGAUUGCAGGCUGCAACUCGCCUGCAUGAAGCUGGAAUCGCUAGUAAUCGCGUAUCAGAACGACGCGGUGAAUACGUUCCCGGGCCUUGUACACACCGGAGUA
rnacentral:rRNA from 1 species